rnacentral:tRNA from 1 species
AAUGUAGUUUAAAGGUAAAAAUAUCUGUUUUGGAAACAGACGAUAUAGGUUCGAGUCCUAUCAUU